UACGGAAGGGGCAAGCGUUGUUCGGAAUCAUUGGGCGUAAAGGGCGCGUAGGUGGUUCUGUAUGUCUACCGUGAAAGCGUACGGCUCAACCGUAUUUUGUCGGUAGAAACUGCAGGACUUGAGGCUGGGAGGGGCUGGUGGAAUUCCCUGUGUAGCGGUGAAAUGCGUAGAGAUGGUGGAGAACACUCGUGGCGAAGGCGGCCAGCUAGACCAGUUCUGACACUGAGGCGCGACAGCGUGGGGAGCAAACAGG
rnacentral:rRNA from 1 species